UUUGAAAAACUUCAUUUUUAGGGUUCCAUAGCCAAAUGGCAAAAAACGGAACCCUUAUAGAUUCGUCAUGUCUGUCUAUCUGUCUGUCCGUGUCAAUUAGGGAUUGCAAUCCGGUCCGGCGGAUCCGGUAAUCCGGCCGGAUCCGGCACUUUUUUGGAGCUACCGGAUCCGGUUAAAAUCACCGGAUCCGGACCGGAUCCGGGAAAAUAGAAAAAAAAGACCA